rnacentral:rRNA from 1 species
UACGUAGGGUGCGAGCGUUAAUCGGAGUUACUGGGCGUAAAGGGUGCGCAGGCGGAUACGUAAGUUAGGAGUGAAAUGCCCGGGCUUAACCUGGGAACAGCUUUUAAGACUGCGAAUCUAGAGUUUGUCAGAGGGGGGUGGAAUUCCAAGUGUAGCAGUGAAAUGCGUAGAGAUUUGGAGGAACACCAAUGGCGAAGGCAACCCCCUGGGAUAAAACUGACGCUCAGGCACGAAAGCGUGGGUAGCAAACAGG